ACGCCCGUACCAUGCUGAAUAUACCGGUUCUCGUUAGAUCACCGAAGUUAAGCAUCAUUGGGCGCGAUCAGUACUUGGGUGGGUGACCACCUGGGAACACUGCGUGCCGUU
rnacentral:rRNA from 1 species